rnacentral:misc_RNA from 1 species
GAUGAAGAACGUAGCGAAAUGCGAUACGUAAUGUGAAUUGCAGAAUUCAGUGAAUCAUCGAAUCUUUGAACGCAUAUUGCGCUCUUUGGUAUUCCGAAGAGCAUGCUUGUUUGAGUAUCAGUAAACACCUCAAAGCUUUUGAAUUUUUUAAUCGAAAAGCUUUGGACUUGAGCAAUCCCAACACCAAUCUUUUUGAGAUCGGUGGCGGGUUGCUUGAAAUGCAGGUGCAGCUGGACAUUCUCCUGAGCUAAAAGCAUAUUCAUUUAGUCCCGUCAAACGGAUUAUUACUUUUGCUGCAGCUAACAUAAAGGGAGUUUGACCGUAUUGGCUGACUGAUGCAGGAUUUCACAAGGGUCGGCAACGAUUCUUGUUAAACUCGAUCUCAAAUCAAGUAAGACUACCCGCUGAACUUAAGCAUAUCAAUAAGCGGAGGA